CGUGUAGGCGGCCCGGUAAGUCCGCUGUGAAAGUCGGGGGCUCAACCCUCGAAUGCCGGUGGAUACUGUCGGGCUCGAGUACGGAAGAGGCGAGUGGAAUUCCUGGUGUAGCGGUGAAAUGCGCAGAUAUCAGGAGGAACACCAAUUGCGAAGGCAGCUCGCUGGGACGUUACUGACGCUGAGACGCGAAAGCGUGGGGAGCAAACA
rnacentral:rRNA from 1 species